GAUGAACGCUGGCGGCGUGCCUAAUACAUGCAAGUCGAGCGAACAGAUAAGGAGCUUGCUCCUUUGACGUUAGCGGCGGACGGGUGAGUAACACGUGGGUAACCUACCUAUAAGACUGGGAUAACUUCGGGAAACCGGAGCUAAUCCCGGAUAAUAUUUCGAACCGCAUGGUUCGUUAGUGGAAGAUGGUUUUGCUAUCACUUAUAGAUGGACACGCGCCGUAUUAGCUAGUUGGUAAGGUAACGGCUUACCAAGGCGACGAUACGUAGCCGACCUGAGAGGGUGAUCGGCCACACUGGAACUGGGACACGGUCCAGACUCCUAAGGGAGGCAGCAGUAGGGAAUCGGCCGCAAUGGGCGAAAGCCUGACGGAGCAACGCCGCGUGAGUUAUGAAGGUCUUCGGAUCGUAAAACUCUGUUAUUAGGGAAGAACAUACGUGUAAGUAACUGUGCACGUCUUGACGGUACCUAAUCAGAAAGCCACGGCUAACUACGUG
rnacentral:rRNA from 1 species